UGCCUCCUGGCAAUGGGCAGAGACACCUUGCUGGUAGUAAUAUUCUUCUAUCAGUCAGGGGCAGAGCAGAUGGCAGUCUUUUGGUCAUCCUAGCUUGAUGCCUGGCUUGGUGGCCAAAGCUGUUUUAUGCCCAGAACACAUUA